ACCAGGAAGCCCUCAGCAGACAUCCAGUCUGUUGACACCAUGAUCUUGGACUUCUCAGCCUCCAGGAUUGUGAGAAGUAAGGGUUUCUUGUUAUAAGCCACCCAGCCUGUGGCAUUUUGUUAUAACACCCCAAAAGGAAUAAGAUGUAUUUAUAAAUAUGCCAAGAAUUUUUCUCAAGGUACUGAACUAAAAGAUCAUUCCUGGGAUGUGUUCUUUCACGAAGGAAAUAGAAAAUCAAUAAUGGAAAAAUUCAGCAGCACAGAGUGAAGUUGGCAAAUGCUGUCUGGAGUGAAACCAUUGUGUUCUCUUGGGAGACUGAGCCCAAUAGCAAUGUCCAUCAGAGAAGCUGCCAGGAACCGCAGUGCUUUGAUUAAAUAGGGUAUUAACUAGAGCCUGAUGGCGUGAACCACACUGAUGAAGACAAACCUCACCCUAUCUACCAGAAACAUUCUUUCCGUGCAAGACUUAGCAAUGAAAAUAAACAAAAGCUUUAGCUUGUCAACUACA